rnacentral:rRNA from 1 species
CCUACGGGUGGCAGCAGUGAGGAAUAUUGGUCAAUGGGCGCGAGCCUGAACCAGCCAAGCCGCGUGAAGGACGAAGGUGCCACGCAUUGUAAACUUCUUUUGUCAAGGGACAAAAUCAGGCUCGAGAGCCUGACCGAGGGUACUUUACGAAAAAGCAUCGGCUAACUCCGUACCAGCAGCAGCGGUAAUACGGAGGAUGCGAGCGUUAUACGGAUUUAUUGGGUUUAAAGGUUGCGUCGGCGGACUGUUAAGUCAGCGGUAAAAGCCCGGGGCUCAACCCCGGCGAGCCGUUGACACUGGCGGGCUGGAGAUGUGGAGAGGUAGGCGGAAUUCGUAGUGUAGCGGUGAAAUGCUUAGAUAUUGCGCAGAACUCCGAUUGCGAAGGCAGCAUACCGGAGGAGAUCUGACGCUGAGGCACGAAAGCGUGGGUAUCGAACAGGAUUAGAUACCCCUGUAGUC